rnacentral:rRNA from 1 species
ACUCAAAUGAAUAGACGGGGACUUGCACAAGUAGUGGAUUAUGCGGUUUAAUUCGAUGACAAACGAAAAACCUUACCAAGGUUAGAAAUCUACGUGAAGACGAGCAGAAACGUUCGUCGUCCGCAAGGACUCGUGGACAGGUGAUGCAUGGCCGUCGUCAGUUCGUGAUUUGAAUUGUUCCCUUAAGUGGGGUAACGAACGCAACCCUCGUUGCCAGUUAUAAGUGUCUGGCGAGACUGCCCCCGUUUGUGCGCAUGAAUUGAAAGAUUCGUGAAUGCAAACGGGGGAGGAAGGCGAGGAUGACGCCAGGUCAGCAUGUCCCUCUGAUACCUUGGGCCACACGCAUAAUACAAUCGCCGCUACAACGGGUCGCGACGGGGUAACCCUGAGCCAAUCCUUAGAAAAGCGGCGCCAGUUCGGAUUGAGGGCUGAAACUCGACCUCAUGAAGCCGGAAUUACUAGUAAUCGCGGGUCAGCUAUACCGCGGUGAAUACGUUCUCAAGUCUUGUACACACCGCCCGU